CACUUUGCCGGUGCUUUUGUCCACUGCAGACACGUUCAAAAUGCCAUUGGCGUCCACGUCGAAGGUGACCUCGAUCUGUGGGACCCCUCGUGGAGCAGGCGGGAUUCCUGUCAGCUCAAACUUGCCCAGCAAGUUGUUGUCCUUGGUCAUGGCUCUUUCCCCCUCAUAGACCUGGAUGAGGACCCCAGGCUGGUUGUCAGAGUAGGUGGUGAAGGUCUGGGUUUGUUUA